UACGAAGGGGGCUAGCGUUGCUCGGAAUCACUGGGCGUAAAGGGUGCGUAGGCGGGUCUUUAAGUUUGGUGUGAAAUACUCCCGGCUCAACCUGGGAGGGUGCGCCGAAUACUGAGGGACUAGAGUACGGGAGAGGAAAGUGGAAUUCCUGGUGUAGCGGUGAAAUGCGUAGAUAUCAGGAGGAACACCGGUGGUGUAGACGGCUUUCUGGACCGACACUGACGCUGAGACACGAAAGCGUGGGGUAGCAAACAGG
rnacentral:rRNA from 1 species